CUAUAGUGACAAAAAUACAGCGUUCAAAGACAAAUCAGUGAAAAUUUUCAGCUAUUACAACAAUGUCACAGUUCGUUUCCGGCGGAAAUAACAUAUCAUUCUGGGAAACAUUACACGGUGGAGCGCCCUCUACUAAUCGUCCACAUUCCUUGGAAGCUGAUGAUACAGUGCCACCUGUAAAAGUGAAACAAACGUCACAGUCAAACCUCGUAAAAUCGGCUGCAAACUAAACCAUCAGCAAGAUAUCACGUGAGCUGUGAGAUCGUGGUUUAGUUAACACCACGUGACAUUUGGUGCGCACUGCGCAAAGUUACAUGCGCAUUGUGUAAGGUGAAAGUGCUCAAUAGCAAACUCACAACACACAGAUCGAGCAUUUGCCCGGACACAGUCGCACAACGUCAGCCGAUACUAGUAAGUGAUGUCGUCUGCUUACAGAACACAACGCCAGCCGAUACAAGUAAGUGAUGUCGUCUGCUUAUAGAACUCAACGUCAGCCGAUACUAGUAAGUGAUGUCGUCUGCUUACAGAACACAACGCCAGCCGAUACAAGUAAGUGAUGUCGUCUGCUUAUAGAACACAACGUCAGCCGAUACUAGUAAGUGAUGUCGU